GACGAACCGUGCGAACGUUAUUCGGAAUCACUGGGCUUAAAGCGCGUGUAGGCGGGCCGGCACGUCGGUCGCUGAAAUCCCCCGGCUCAACCGGGGAAGGGGCGCCGAUACGACCGGCCUGGAGGGGAGUAGGGGGGCCUGGAACUUCCGGUGGAGCGGUGAAAUGCGUUGAGAUCGGAAGGAACGCCCGUGGCGAAAGCGAGGCCCUGGACUCCUGCUGACGCUGAGACGCGAAAGCCAGGGGAGCGAACGG
rnacentral:rRNA from 1 species